rnacentral:rRNA from 1 species
AUUGAACGCUGGCGGCAUGCUUUACACAUGCAAGUCGAACGGUAACAGGCCGCAAGGUGCUGACGAGUGGCGAACGGGUGAGUAAUGCAUCGGACCGAGCCCAGUCGUGGGGGAUAACGCAGCGAAAGCUGUGCUAAUACCGCAUACGAUCUAUGGAUGAAAGCGGGGGACCGUAAGGCCUCGUGCGAUUGGAGCGGCCGAUGUCAGAUUAGGUAGUUGGUGGGGUAAAGGCCUACCAAGCCAACGAUCUGUAGCUGGUCUGAGAGGACGACCAGCCACACUGGGACUGAGACACGGCCCAGACUCCUGCGGGAGGCAGCAGUGGGGAAUUUUGGACAAUGGGCGCAAGCCUGAUCCAGCAAUGCCGCGUGCAGGAAGAAGGCCUUCGGGUUGUAAACUGCUUUUGUACGGAACGAAACGGUCUGGGUUAAUACCCUGGGCUAAUGACGGUACCGUAAGAAUAAGCACCGGCUAACUACGUGCCAGCAGCCGCUGUAACAC